rnacentral:tRNA from 1 species
GGGGUUUUAGUUCAAUGGUAGAACAUCUGCUUGGCAGGCAGAUGGCCCCAGGCUCAGUUCCCUGAAUCUCAA